rnacentral:rRNA from 1 species
UACGUAGGGCGCAAGCGUUGUCCGGAAUUAUUGGGCGUAAAGAGCUCGUAGGCGGCUUGUCACGUCGGGUGUGAAAGCCCGGGGCUUAACCCCGGGUCUGCAUUCGAUACGGGCAGGCUAGAGUGUGGUAGGGGAGAUCGGAAUUCCUGGUGUAGCGGUGAAAUGCGCAGAUAUCAGGAGGAACACCGGUGGCGAAGGCGGAUCUCUGGGCCAUUACUGACGCUGAGGAGCGAAAGCUAGGGGAGCAAAUGGG